rnacentral:lncRNA from 1 species
AAGCAUGUUCAUGAUUAAAUCUGUAUGCUGGCUUAUUUGAGUGACUGCUCUCUGAUUGCGGUUUCCUCAGUCCUAGUUCUUCCUCUUCUUCUUUUUUUUUUUUUUUUUUCUUUUCUUUUUUCUUCCCUUUCCUUCCUUUCUUUUUGGUUUAGAGAAGCCCUUUCAAUAUUUCCUUUAACCUGGGUUUUGUGUUGCUGUAUUCUUUAAGUUUUUGUUUGUUGGGAAAAAUUUUUAUUUCCCCUUCUAUUUUAAAUGAUAUUCUUGCUGGAUAGAGUAUUCUAGGUUGCAUAUUUUUUCCUUUGAGCACUUUAAAUAUCUCUUGCCAUUCCCUCCUGGCCUGUAGUGUUUCUGUAGAGAAAUCAGCUGAUAUUCUUAUGGGGGUUCCCUUGUAGGUAACAUUCUGUUUUUCUCUUGCUGCCUUUAGGAUCCUCUCUUUAUCACUAACUUUUGCCAUUUUUAUUAUGAUGUGUCUUGGUGUGGGUCUGUUUGGGUUCAGUUUGUUUGGGGCCCUCUGUGCUUCUUGUAUCUUGAAUCCAGUAUCCUUUAGAUUUGGGAAGUUUCCAGCGAUAAUUUCUUCAAAUAUAUUUUCCAUUCCCUUAUCUUUUUCUACUCCUUCUGGAAUUCCUAUUAUGCGUAGAUUGGCCCGCUUUAUAUUAUCCCAUAGGUCUCUUAUAUUGCUUUCCAGUUUUUUGAUUCGGUUUUCUGUCUGUUGACCAGAUUGAGUGAUUUCCAUUAUUCUAUCUUCCAUAUCACUGAUUCGUUCUUCUGCAUUAUUCAUUCUGGUUUUUACUGCCCCUAGUUCAGUUUGCAUCUCUGCAAAUGAAUGUUCUAGUUUUUCUUGGCUCCUCCUUAUAUUUUCUAGUUCCUUUCUGAGGGUAUCUGCAUUACUGUUCAUAUCUUCUCUUAAUUCCUUCAGUAUUUUCACUAUUUCUCUUUUGAACUCCAGGUCUGUCAGACUGCAGAGAUCUGUUUCAUUGUUGACUGUUUUAGGUGAGUUCUCCUGUUGGUUUGACUGGGGGUGGUUUCUCAGCUUCUUCAUCUUGCUUGUUGUUUUCUUUCUCCUGAGGGAGUUGUACUCUCCGUUAUCGGGCAGUGUUUGCCUUGUCACUGCCGUGGAAUAUUUCCUGAGGGCUGGCGUUGUUGGUCAAUCUUUUUUGAGGCAGUGUGGCUUUUCUGGAGUGUUGAUGGGGCUAACAGAGUGGGGCACCCCCUGGGGGCUUGGGCGGGUAGCAGGGCCGUUGGAGAUCCAAGAGGCUCCUCCCCAGGGCAGCCCAACUCAGAAAAACCAUCUGAGAUCUUUUCCCAACUCGGCCAGGCUUGUUGCAGCUUUUUUGGGCUGCAGGGGGUCCUGCCUGGAGCUGGCAGUCCUAUGCAGCUAGUCCACUAGGGCAUCCCCUGGGGGCUUGGGCGGGUAGCAGGCCGUUGGAGACCCAAGAGGCUCCUCCCUGGGGCAGCCCGACUCAGAAAAACCAUCUGAGUUCCUUUCCUGACUCGGCCAGGCUUGUUGCAGCGUUUCUGGGCUGUAGGGGGUCCUGCCUGGAG